rnacentral:lncRNA from 1 species
AAUUCCCAACUUAUUUCGUUCGAAAUCAUACUUUCAAGCUACAGCUUCUAGAGUGAUGUAAACGAAGUCAAGUGUCCUAAUCAGUACCACCUAUACAGUUUCUUUUCCUGUCAUGAAAAACCGGCUGCGUUUCCAUACAAGUUCGUAUACCUUAGUAAACAUUGCGUCGUACUCCGACAAGGUACGGUAUACAAGAGAGUACGCUAGUCGUUGAUUCACCCGCAUUAGUUAGUUAUCAGUUUUCCCAAGUGCUAGUAGUUCGCAUUAGUCGUACCGCUUUUGAAAGCUUCCUUGGAUUUUCCUGAUUGUUACCAGCCUUACAAAAAACGAUGGGCAACGUAGUAUACUCGAUAAUCUGGCUUUUAAUCCUCUUCUUUAUAUCAUUCUUCGUAGCAGGAUUUUGCGCAUUUUUCUACAUAAUAGUUCAUCCUUUGUCAGUGUGCAUACCGCCAUUAUCGGGGCUAUCGGAUAUUUUACUACAAGGAGUCCAGUUUCCUCAUUACUGUGCCGACAAAAUGAUGACUGGAGGAUCAAUUCCAUAAACUCCAAAACACUAACUACUUGAAAACCCCUGUUUAAUAAUACUUAGUGUUACCUAAUUUAUUUUUCAACUAAUAAUGAGCAGAACAUUCGAUCUAAAAUCGGAUCAACAAUCACUCAACGAAGAAGUUGUACAAAUUUCCUUAGGAAUGGGAUCAUCAUCCCUAUAAUUUAAGUCGUUUUUCUUCUUUACUAAAGAACUGAUUAUGUAUCUUAACCACAUAUGUAUUGGAAAAUGUAUUUGCCAAAAAACAUGUGUUCAUUUAGAAUAAUUUAAUACAGUAUACUUAAGUUAUUGCAGAUUUUGGUUCAAAUUGAGCUACAACACAGUUAAGUUCAUUCACCGUUAUUUAAAUGUAAAAGAAAAUAGUAAAUAUGGACAAAAUUCAAGAAAUAAGAGAAAACAAUAAAUUACUCAUUUCAAUAUUUAAGAAAGUUGUCAGAUAGUUGCAUUAUUUAAAUUAUUGAUUUUCCCAUAACAGCGAGAAUAUUUUCUUAAUUUUUGUUUCUAAUUACACAAGUUUCUCUUUCAUAUCAGGAUUCUUAUAAGCGCAUUUUAUUUUUACUGGUACAAUACUCUUAAAGUUGGUACUUCAAUUAUCUUAUAAAAGAACAAUUUAAUUCUUUGAUUUUAUGAGUUAACUUAUCACACUGUAAAUAGAUAUGGCAAGAUGAAUGAAAAAACCGUAAUCUCUAGCAAAACGACAAGCCCGUUUCCAUCGAAAAUGUUAUUACGUAAUUUUCGGUUUUUUGCUAUUAUAAUCACCUAUUGAUGUACUUAAUUAAUUAUGAGAAGUUACUAAUAAAAUAUAUUUUUAUGAACUGUUGAAUAUUCAAUGUUCCUGAUGGAACUAUUGUGGUAAUGUUUCUUUACAACUGUAAAUAAAAUCGUUAGAACCC